GAUGAACGCUGGCGGCGCGCCUAACACAUGCAAGUCGAACGAUUAAAGCACCUUCGGGUGUGUAUAAAGUGGCGAACGGCUGAGUAACACGUUUGCAACCUGCCCCUCUCAUUAGGAUAGCCACGGGAAACCGUGGAUAAUACCGAAUACUUCUGGACUUCCGCAUGGAAGACUCGAGAAAGCUCCGGCGGAGAGGGAUGGGCCCGCGGCCUGUUAGCUUGUUGGUGGGGUAAUGGCCUACCAAGGCAAUGAUGGGUAGCUGGGUUGAGAGGCCGACCAGCCAGAUCGGGACUGAGACACGGCCCAGACUCCUACGGGAGGCAGCAGUGGGGAAUCGUGCACAAUGGGAGAAAGCCUGAUGCAGCGACGCCGCGUGCGGGAUGAAGGCCUUCGGGUUGUAAACCGCUUUCAGCAGGGACGAGGCGAAAGUGACGGUACCUGCAGAAGAAGCCCCGGCUAACUACGUG
rnacentral:rRNA from 1 species